GGCAUGGUGGCUCAGUGGUUAGUACUGUUGCCUCACAUCUCUGGGGUUGGGGGUUCAAUUCCCCCCUUUACCC